UACGUAGGGGGCGAGCGUUGUCCGGAGUUACUGGGCGUAAAGCGCUUGUAGGCGGUCCACCAAGUUUGGGGUGACAGUUGCCGACUUAAUCGGCAAAGUGCCUCAAAGACUGGCGGACUUGAGGGCCACAGAGGGACAUGGAACUCCAGGUGUAGUGGUGAAAUGCGUAGAUAUCUGGAAGAACACCAAAGGCGAAGGCAGUGUCCUGGGUGGUCGCUGACGCUGAGAGGCGAAAGCCAAGGGAGCGAACGGG
rnacentral:rRNA from 1 species